GCUUACGGCCACACCGCCUGGUUCACGCCUGAUCUCGGAAGCUAAGAUAGGUUGGGCCUGGUUAGUACGUGGAUGGGAGACCGCCUGGGAAUACCAGGUGCUGCAAGCU
ensembl:rRNA 5S_rRNA 5S ribosomal RNA